ensembl:lincRNA
UGAGUAUUCCUGCAUGUUGUCAUCCAAAGGUUUGAUGGCCUGCAAAGGACACUAUGAACCCUACUCUAGAGUUUUAGGUCUCUAGUCGUCUCUUGAGAAGACUGCAGUUUUUUAAAAAAAAUAUUAAAAAGCAAGAAAGUGGGCUUCUUACUCAGAAGAAGAAAAUCCACAGAUGAUAUUCAUUGAACUAAGUGUCACCUUUCCAUAAACAGACUUCGAUCCAUGCUUUCUACAUUGGCUCUUGAUUGUUUCUUAUGAAAUCAUCAUCAUCGUAAUGAACUAGGAAGGGUUGUCUUUUCUUCUCCAUCAUCAUUUUUAACCCUUGCAUAUACACCAUCCAGGAGUAAACUGUCUGCUUGUUGGAGUGAAUUUGAGGAAAUCAUUGGUGGUUCUGGCAUUGUGUUGGCAGCACAGCAUAAUCUUAUGUGUCAAGCUAAUGAACGUCGGAAUGAAUUGAUCAAACAGCUGUUUACAAUGAAGUAAAUGGCAAACUGUCAGGUGCUGAAUAUCGUGUUCCAAUGAGGGUAGAGCUGACUAAUACAAAAGCAUCAUCAAAAUAGAAGUAUCCAAGAGUGUUCAUAAAGAAAUGUGAUUUGAGCUGUCAUUGGUAUCAGGUAAUUUUACUUGGAAAUGCAGAAAAGGGUAGGAUUAUUAUUUCAAGCAGUGAUGCAGCAGAAAUGAAAGUUGAAGUAACAACUUGUUUUGGUACUAUGGAG